UACGGAGGUCUCAAGCGUUGUUCGGAUUCAUUGGGCGUAAAGGGUGCGUAGGCGGCGCGGUAAGUCGGGUGUGAAAUCUCGGAGCUUAACUCCGAAACUGCAUUCGAUACUGCCGUGCUUGAGGACUGGAGAGGAGACUGGAAUUUACGGUGUAGCGGUGAAAUGCGUAGAUAUCGUAAGGAAGACCAGUGGCGAAGGCGGGUCUCUGGACAGUUCCUGACACUGAGGCACGAAGGCCAGGGGAGCAAACGGG
rnacentral:rRNA from 1 species